AUGUCGCCUUCUGUGUUUGGGGGAUGCUUUGCCCUUUUUCUCUUUGCGAAGGGCACGUUCACAUUUAUAAAAGCUGAACACGCUGGCAUGGGGCUGCUUUUCAGGUCUCAGGGAGCCGCUGCUGCUGGGCUGGGUGGGUGCAGCCGGGCGUGGGCUGCAUCCACGUCCCCUCUCGUUAGCUGGGAGGGGGCAGCCCGAGCAGAGCCUGCUCCGCAGGGGCCACAAGCCCCAGUCCCCGCUGACUUGCUGGCUCCCGAGGCCCCCUCCCCAGCCUGGGUCUUCUGGCUGCACAUGGGCCACAGCCUGGCGGAGUGGUGUCCUGGGGGUGUCUUGGUUGUGGCCAGAUUUCAGGGCACGAGUCAGGGGCCAUUUCAAACCCCCAUGCGGGCCCAGCAGGGUGGGUGUGUCCCUGCCUGUGACUGCCUCCCUGGCCUGGUGACCCUCGUGUCUCUGUCACCGAGUGCUCCCUCCUGCUCUCUGCCACUUUGUAAAGUAGGGCUACCCUCCCCACCUGCUGCCCGCGGCCCAUGGCCUUGCUUGGUUCCAGCGCCUGACUGGGCCUGGUGCCGUGGGCCUACCCGGCUGCGAGCCUGCUGCCUCACUGGCCCCAGUGGCUGGCUCUGUCCCCUGUUCCACUCGGCACAUUGGAGCUUCCCGUGGCCUGGCAGCCAUCCUGCAGACGUCUGCUGGGGCUCAGCCUCUGACCUCUGGGAGUCAGGUUUGAGGCCAGCCUUUCCCCGGCUGGUUCUGGAUGGGAGACGGGGCUGCCCGCCCAGGGCCUGGUGGAGGAGGUGGCAGUGCUUGGACUGGGGGAGGCAGACCUGUACCAGGCAUUUCUGCCAGGGUGCCCCUGAGAGCAGUGGGCACCAUGAGGGGCCUUGUUCAGGAUGCACGGCGGCAGGGGCGGGACAUGCCGUUUUGCCUGCUCCCCUCUUCUGCCCCGAAACCCCCUCUCUGGCUUGUCCUUGUGCCUUUUGGUCAGUGGAAGAACACAGCCUGGCAGAGCAGGCAGGCAGAGGGCCACUGCCCAGCCCCGCGUGUGGUGAUGCAGCAAGGACUCUGCAAGGAUACAUAUCCAGAAAAACCUGCUGGGAUGGCAGGAAACCAGGGGAGCCUUGGCCACAUCUGCAGGAGAGAACCCGCGGGACACAGAUGGCCUGGAUAGCACCACCCGUGCCCGCAGAAACACGCUUCUGGACGAUUGGGAUCCUGAAGUGCACGCGAGAGCCGAGUCCAGUGAAUCCCACCUGUCCAGAGCCUCAUGGCCGUGCGGGCACACCAAACGUCCCAGGCCGAGGGGACCAGGCGGGCCAGGGCCGGACCCCGUGGGGGUGGGAGCAUGGGGCAGACCCCAGAGACAAUCUCCCAGUGUGCCUGGAGGUGGCGGGGCGGGGGUGCCAUUGUGUUCGGAUUAGAAGAAGUUUAGGAUUUUCACCUUAA
rnacentral:lncRNA from 1 species